CCUACGGGAGGCAGCAGUAGGGAAUAUUGCUCAAUGGGGGAAACCCUGAAGCAGCAACGCCGCGUGGAGGAUGAAGGUUUUCGGAUCGUAAACUCCUUUUGUUAGAGAAGAAAAUGACGGUAUCUAACGAAUAAGCACCGGCUAACUCCGUGCCAGCAGCCGCGGUAAUACGGAGGGGGCAAGCGUUAUCCGGAAUCACUGGGAGUAAAGAGCGCGUAGGCGGGAUAGCAAGUCAGAUGUGAAAUCCAAUGGCUUAACCAUAGAACUGCAUUUGAAACUGUUAUUCUAGAGUAUGGGAGAGGUAGGCGGAAUUCUUGGUGUAGCGGUAAAAUCCGUAGAGAUCAAGAGGAAUACUCAUUGCGAAGGCGACCUGCUAGAACAUAACUGACGCUGAUGCGCGAAAGCGUGGGGAGCAAACAGGAUUAGAUACCCGAGUAGUC
rnacentral:rRNA from 1 species